UACGUAGGGGGCAAGCGUUGUCCGGAUUUAUUGGGCGUAAAGCGCUCGCAGGUGGUCCGAUGCGUCGUGCGUGAAAGACCCCGGCUCAACUGGGGGGUGUCGUGCGAUACGGUCGGACUGGAGGCCAGUAGGGGGAUGCGGAAUUCCGGGUGUAGUGGUGGAAUGCGUAGAGAUCCGGAGGAACACCAGCGGCGAAGGCGGCUAUCUGGACAGAGUCUGACGCUGAGGCGCGAAAGCUAGGGGAGCAAACAGG
rnacentral:rRNA from 1 species